rnacentral:rRNA from 1 species
GACGAACGCUGGCGGCGUGCUUAACACAUGCAAGUCGAACGGAAAGGCCCUGCUUUUGUGGGGUGCUCGAGUGGCGAACGGGUGAGUAACACGUGAGUAACCUGCCCUUGACUUUGGGAUAACUUCAGGAAACUGGGGCUAAUACCGGAUAGGAGCUCCUGCUGCAUGGUGGGGGUUGGAAAGUUUCGGCGGUUGGGGAUGGACUCGCGGCUUAUCAGCUGGUUGGUGGGGUAGUGGCUUACCAAGGCUUUGACGGGUAGCCGGCCUGAGAGGGUGACCGGCCACAUUGGGACUGAGAUACGGACCAGACUCCUACGGGAGGCAGCAGUGGGGAAUAUUGCACAAUGGGCGGAAGCCUGAUGCAGCAACGCCGCGUGCGGGAUGACGGCCUUCGGGUUGUAAACCGCUUUCGCCUGUGACGAAGCGUGAGUGACGGUAAUGGGUAAAGAAGCACCGGCUAACUACGUG